AUACGUAGGGGGCGAGCGUUGUCCGGAAUGAUUGGGCGUAAAGGGCGCGUAGGCGGCCCGGUAAGUCUGGAGUGAAAGUCCUGUUUUUAAGAUGGGAAUUGCUUUGGAUACUGUCGGGCUUGAGUGCAGGAGAGGUAAGUGGAAUUCCCAGUGUAGCGGUGAAAUGCGUAGAGAUUGGGAGGAACACCAGUGGCGAAGGCGACUUACUGGACUGUAACUGACGCUGAGGCGCGAAAGUGUGGGGAGCAAACAGGAUUAGAUACCCUGGUAGUCCACACUGUAAACGAUGAAUACUAGGUGUAGGGGGUAUCGACUCCCUCUGUGCCGCAGUUAACACAAUAAGUAUUCCGCCUGGGGAGUACGGCCGCAAGGUUGAAACUCAAAUGAAUUGGCGGGG
rnacentral:rRNA from 1 species